UACGAAGGGUGCAAGCGUUACUCGGAAUUACUGGGCGUAAAGCGUGCGUAGGUGGUUUGUUAAGUCUGAUGUGAAAGCCCCUGGCUCAACUGGGGAAGUGCACCCGAAACUGAGUGGCUUGAGUGCGAAAGAGGGUCGCGGAAUUCCCGGUGUAGAGGUGAAAUUCGUAGAUAUCGGGAGGAACACCGGUGGCGAAGGCGGCGACCUGGGUCGACACUGACGCUGAGGCGCGAAAGCGUGGGGAGCAAACAGG
rnacentral:rRNA from 1 species